rfam:Camelus ferus unplaced genomic scaffold scaffold2373, whole genome shotgun sequence.
GAGAGUAUAGCUUGAGUGGUAGAGUACAUGCUUAGCAUGCAUGAGGUCCUGGGUUCAAUCCCCAGUACUUCCU